rnacentral:rRNA from 1 species
GUUACCUACGGGACGCAGCAGUGAGGAAUAUUGGUCAAUGGUCGGGAGACUGAACCAGCCAAGUCGCGUGAGGGAAGACGGUCCUAUGGAUUGUAAACCUCUUUUGCCGGGGAGCAAAAAGCGGUACGUGUACCGCAUCGAGAGUACCCGGAGAAAAAGCAUCGGCUAACUCCGUGCCAGCAGCCGCGGUAAUACGGAGGAUGCGAGCGUUAUCCGGAUUGAUUGGGUUUACAGGGUGCGCAGGCGGCGAGUUAAGUAAGCGGUAAAAUUUCGGGGCUCAACCCCGACGAGCCGUUGACACUGGG